CUUUCCCAACGGUCAGGGAGAGCUGCUGCUGCCGGGUGUGUGCACCGUGCCAGCGGGGAGACAGCAGAGUGUCCUGGACCUGCAGCUCCUUGGCCGGGGAGCCGUACCAUCGCUGUGACAGCUCGCCCCUGCUGCAGCAGGGACCCUGCCUGCACUGGGGAGGGCCUGACCAGGGAUCCUGGCAUCUGCAUGUGGCUCUGCAGCCACGGGAGAUGGUUUCCCCCUCUUUCCGCAAGCAGGCGGUGAUUGCCACCGAACCCUGGGGCUCGGGGCUUUGAGAAGGUGAUCGAAUACAGCCUUGAACCGGCGGGAGAGGAGCGGUGCCCGGCCUUGCUGCAGGACGGGCGGUGAGGCGGCUGUGUCACCAGGAGAGGAGGGGACGGGCAGGACGUGCCAGGCGCAGCGCUCACUGCUGCUGCAGCAGCUCCCAGCUGGGGCUAGCCGUGAGCAGCUCCUGCGGCACGGCGCUGGGCGAUGGACCCCCGGGCAGGGCAAGAACCCAUCAACGUGCUUGGGGUUGUCAUAGGUGUCGGGCUGGCCUUGCUGAUCCUGGUGCUUUUUGGCUACACCUUCAUCCGGUGGUACCAGAGGGGCCAGUGCUGGCGCCGGCCCGACUUUGUCUUCAACCUCUACCACACCUGGUAAGUGAGGCUGUGCGGGGUACCUGGGUCGGGCUGGGUGCUCCCUUCGCAUGGUGCCGAGGUGUCGCAAACCCUCACCAGUCCCUAAACUCACUGAGCUCUGCUGUUUGCAGGUGCUGCCCCUCCGGGACAGAUGCCCUGGGGAGUCCCGGCUGUUCAGGGACAGUCCCCACGCUGUGGGCUGGCGGGGGGACAGGCAGCUCACUGACAUCUCUGCCUUCCCUGCAGUGGGCUGGGGUCAGUGGCGGUGGAGCUGGUGCCGCCGUUCAGCAUCAGCGGCUUGCUGAGCAGGACGGGGAGCAGCUAUGUGCCUUUCCAGGACCGGGGGCCAUGAGGCGGGAGCCAGGCUGGCGUGCAGAGCUUCUCCAGCUGCUCCCUGCAGGUGCAUUUCUCUUGCUGGCCCACCCCUGCCACAGGCAGCACAGGUAGGUGCCUGAGGUCGGCUGCCAUCCCCAGGCUGGUGCACUGGCCCAGCCUCCCCUUGCUUGAGAUGGAGGAGGAGGGAGCUGCCUUAUCCCACGCUUCCUCAGCACACAUCCUGGAGAGAAAAGACACCUUCCCCACGGACCCCCACAGCUCAGAGAGACCCCAGUCCUCAGGACCAGCCAGCUGCGUGCCCGGGCUGUUGGUGAACAGGGCAGUGGGAGUGCAGGAAACCAGCUAAAAAGGACAGCAAUGAGCCACAGAACUGGACAGCUGGUUUUGUGCAACAGGGGAAAAUGCCAUAGGGAAAUGAGACUGCUUCAGACUUCCCUCCUCGGUUGAAUAUCUAGACCAAUGUGGAAAUUUGUCCUCCGCACUGAUGGUGCAAGCAAACACCUCAGAAAGCCCCCGUGGGCUUUCUCAUGCCAGCCGCCUUCAGCCUCGGCAGAGCAAGCAGCCGUGGAAGCGCCUGGAGCCCAAGAGCAGCCCUGGCAAAGCUGCUGCGGCCCUCAGAGAGGGGCCCCUGCCCGGCAGGUGAGGGCUGGUGAGGCACGGGGGCUUUGGGACCGUUUCUUUGCAAACUGUGUUCUCAGAAGGAAAACAAAGAGAAGCUAGGGAGACCGUGUGGUUGCGUCUAGGGAAACCGG
ensembl:lncRNA